AGACGGAGGGUCCUAGCGUUGUUCGGAAUGACUGGGCGUAAAGGGUACGUAGGCGGUUUGGUCAGUUAGAUGUGAAAGCCCAGGGCUCAACCUUGGAACUGCAUUUAAUACUGCCAAACUUGAGAUCGGAAGAGGAAAGCGGAAUUUCUAGUGUAGAGGUGAAAUUCGUAGAUAUUAGAAGGAACAUCAGAGGCGAAGGCGGCUUUCUGGUCCGAUACUGACGCUGAGGUACGAAAGCGUGGGGAGCAAACAGGAUUAGAAACCCUUGUAGUCC
rnacentral:rRNA from 1 species